rnacentral:rRNA from 1 species
GUCGGGAAUAUUGCACAAUGAGCGAAAGCUUGAUGCAGCAACGCCGCGUGCGCGAUGAAGGCCUUCGGGUCGUAAAGCGCUUUUCGGGGGGAUGAGGAAGGACAGUACCCCCGGAAUAAGUCACGGCUAACUACGUGCCAGCAGCCGCGGUAAAACGUAGGUGGCGAGCGUUAUCCGGAUUUACUGGGCGUAAAGCGUGUUCAGGUGGUUUGGCAAGUCGGGCAUGAAAUCUCCAGGCUCAACCUGGAGAGGCUGUCCGAUACUUCCAGACUUGAGGGCAGCAGAGGGCGGUGGAAUUCCGGGUGUAGUGGUAAAAUGCGUAGAUAUCCGGAGGAACACCAGUGGCGAAGGCGGCCGCCUGGGCUGCUCCUGACGCUAAAACACGAAGGCUAGGGGAGAGAACGGGAUUAGAUACCCCUGUAGUCC